AGAUUAAGUUAUUAAGGGCGCACGGUGGAUGCCUUGGCACUAGAAGCCGAAGAAGGACGUUACUAACGACGAUAUGCUUUGGGUAGCUGUAAGUAAGCGUUGAUCCAGAGAUUUCCGAAUGGGGGAACCCAACAUGAGUGAUGUCAUGUUAUCGACAUGUGAAUUCAUAGCAUGUCAGAAGGCAGACCCGGAGAACUGAAACAUCUUAGUACCCGGAGGAAGAGAAAGAAAAAUCGAUUCCCUGAGUAGCGGCGAGCGAAACGGGAAGAGCCCAAACCAACAAGCUUGCUUGUUGGGGUUGUAGGACACUCUAUACGGAGUUACAAAAGAACAUGUUAGACGAAUCAUCUGGAAAGAUGAAUCAAAGAAGGUAAAAAUCCUGUAGUCGAAAACAUAUUCUCUCUUGAGUGGAUCCUGAGUACGACGGAGCACGUGAAAUUCCGUCGGAAUCUAGGAGGACCAUCUCCUAAGGCUAAAUACUCUCUAGUGACCGAUAGUGAACCAGUACCGUGAGGGAAAGGUGAAAAGUACCCCGGAAGGGGAGUGAAAGAGAACUUGAAACCGUGUGCUUACAAGUAGUCAGAGCCCGUUAAUGGGUGAUGGCGUGCCUUUUGUAGAAUGAACCGGCGAGUUACGAUCUGAUGCAAGGUUAAGCAGCAAAUGUGGAGCCGUAGCGAAAGCGAGUCUGAAUAGGGCGUUGAGUAUUUGGUCGUAGACCCGAAACCAGGUGAUCUACCCUUGGUCAGGUUGAAGUUCAGGUAACACUGAAUGGAGGACCGAACCGACUUACGUUGAAAAGUGAGCGGAUGAACUGAGGGUAGCGGAGAAAUUCCAAUCGAACUUGGAGAUAGCUGGUUCUCUCCGAAAUAGCUUUAGGGCUAGCCUCAAGUGAUGAUUAUUGGAGGUAGAGCACUGUUUGGACGAGGGGCCCCUCUCGGGUUACCGAAUUCAGACAAACUCCGAAUGCCAAUCAAUUUAACUUGGGAGUCAGAACAUGGGUGAUAAGGUCCGUGUUCGAAAGGGAAACAGCCCAGACCACCAGCUAAGGUCCCAAAAUAUAUGUUAAGUGGAAAAGGAUGUGGCGUUGCCCAGACAACUAGGAUGUUGGCUUAGAAGCAGCCAUCAUUUAAAGAGUGCGUAAUAGCUCACUAGUCGAGUGACACUGCGCCGAAAAUGUACCGGGGCUAAACAUAUUACCGAAGCUGUGGAUUGUCCGUAGGACAAUGGUAGGAGAGCGUUCUAAGGGCAUUGAAGCAUGAUCGCAAGGACAUGUGGAGCGUUUAGAAGUGAGAAUGCCGGUGUGAGUAGCGAAAGACGGGUGAGAAUCCCGUCCACCGAUUGACUAAGGUUUCCAGAGGAAGGCUCGUCCGCUCUGGGUUAGUCGGGUCCUAAGCUGAGGCCGACAGGCGUAGGCGAUGGAUAACAGGUUGAUAUUCCUGUACCACCUAGUAUCGUUUUAAUCGAUGGGGGGACGCAGUAGGAUAGACGAAGCGUGCUGUUGGAGUGCACGUCCAAGCAGUAAGGCUGAGUGUUAGGCAAAUCCGGCACUCGUAAGGCUGAGCUGUGAUGGGGAGAGGAAAUUGUUUCCUCGAGUCGUUGAUUUCACACUGCCGAGAAAAGCCUCUAGAUAGAUAACAGGUGCCCGUACCGCAAACCGACACAGGUAGUCAAGAUGAGAAUUCUAAGGUGAGCGAGCGAACUCUCGUUAAGGAACUCGGCAAAAUGACCCCGUAACUUCGGGAGAAGGGGUGCUCUUUAGGGUUCACGCCCAGAAGAGCCGCAGUGAAUAGGCCCAAGCGACUGUUUAUCAAAAACACAGGUCUCUGCUAAACCGUAAGGUGAUGUAUAGGGGCUGACGCCUGCCCGGUGCUGGAAGGUUAAGAGGAGUGGUUAGCUUCUGCGAAGCUACGAAUCGAAGCCCCAGUAAACGGCGGCCGUAACUAUAACGGUCCUAAGGUAGCGAAAUUCCUUGUCGGGUAAGUUCCGACCCGCACGAAAGGCGUAACGAUUUGGGCACUGUCUCAACGAGAGACUCGGUGAAAUCAUAGUACCUGUGAAGAUGCAGGUUACCCGCGACAGGACGGAAAGACCCCGUGGAGCUUUACUGUAGCCUGAUAUUGAAAUUCGGCACAGCUUGUACAGGAUAGGUAGGAGCCAUUGAAACGUGAGCGCUAGCUUACGUGGAGGCGUUGGUGGGAUACUACCCUAGCUGUGUUGGCUUUCUAACCCGCACCACUUAUCGUGGUGGGAGACAGUGUCAGGCGGGCAGUUUGACUGGGGCGGUCGCCUCCUAAAAGGUAACGGAGGCGCUCAAAGGUUCCCUCAGAAUGGUUGGAAAUCAUUCACAGAGUGUAAAGGCAUAAGGGAGCUUGACUGCGAGACCUACAAGUCGAGCAGGGUCGAAAGACGGACUUAGUGAUCCGGUGGUUCCGCAUGGAAGGGCCAUCGCUCAACGGAUAAAAGCUACCCCGGGGAUAACAGGCUUAUCUCCCCCAAGAGUUCACAUCGACGGGGAGGUUUGGCACCUCGAUGUCGGCUCAUCGCAUCCUGGGGCUGUAGUCGGUCCCAAGGGUUGGGCUGUUCGCCCAUUAAAGCGGUACGCGAGCUGGGUUCAGAACGUCGUGAGACAGUUCGGUCCCUAUCCGUCGUGGGCGUAGGAAAUUUGAGAGGAGCUGUCCUUAGUACGAGAGGACCGGGAUGGACAUACCUCUGGUGUACCAGUUGUCGUGCCAACGGCAUAGCUGGGUAGCUAUGUAUGGACGGGAUAAGUGCUGAAAGCAUCUAAGCAUGAAGCCCCCCUCAAGAUGAGAUUUCCCAACUUCGGUUAUAAGAUCCCUCGAAGAUGACGAGGUUAAUAGGUUCGAGGUGGAAGCGUGGCGACACGUGGAGCUGACGAAUACUAAUCGAUCGAAGACUUAAUCAAUUU
rnacentral:rRNA from 1 species